CAGCAGUCGCGAAAACUUCGCAAUGGGGGCAACCCCGACGAGGGAAUUCCAAGUGCGUGCACUUUUGUGUACGCUGUUCUUCUGUCUAAAAAACAGGAGAAGUAAGGGCCGGGUAAGACGGGUGCCAGCCGCCGCGGUAAUACCCGCGGCCCGAGUGGUGGUCGAUAUUAUUGAGCCUAAAACGUCCGUAGCCGGUCUUCUAAAUCCUUGGGUAAAUCGGGCAGCUUAACUGUCCGAAUUCCGGGGAGACUGGGAGACUUGGGACCGGGAGAGGUUAGAGGUACUUCUGGGGUAGGGGUAAAAUCCUGUAAUCCUGGAAGGACCACCGGUGGCGAAGGCGUCUAACUAGAACGGAUCCGACGGUGAGGGACGAAGCCCUGGGGCGCAAACGGGAUUAGAUACCCCGGUAGUCCAGGGUGUAAACGCUGCGGGCUUGGUGUUGGGGGUCCUUUGUGGGCGCCCAGUGCCGGAGAGAAGUUGUU
rnacentral:rRNA from 1 species